rnacentral:rRNA from 1 species
GACGAACCGUGCAAACGUUGUUCGGAAUCACUGGGCGUAAAGCGCACGUAGGCGGAUUGCUAAGUCAGGGGUGAAAUCCUGGAGCUCAACUCCAGAACUGCCUUUGAUACUGGCGAUCUUGAGUCCGGGAGAGGUGAGUGGAACUGCGAGUGUAGAGGUGAAAUUCGUAGAUAUUCGCAAGAACACCAGUGGCGAAGGCGGCUCACUGGCCCGGUACUGACGCUGAGGUGCGAAAGCGUGGGGAGCAAACAGGG